rnacentral:lncRNA from 1 species
ACGACCAGACCAAAUGAAAACUACGGUAGACAAAUCAUAACGCAGCUGACACUUCACCCUCCCGCUGAAUGCGCCUCUUCACGCCUCGACGCACCAAUGGAACUGCAGCAGCCUGGAUUCAAGAAAAAACAUACAACAACAAAAAACAGAAGUGAGAAUUGUGCGGAAAUGGACGCUGAUAUACAUUGCUCUCGGAUAGUCAGAGAACUUGCCAAGCUGCAGUACUUCAGGGCGUAGAACAUCUCCAGGUAACGGCGAGUCUCGCGUCUCUCCAGGUUGCUCACGUACUUCCAGAAUCCAUACACACCGGUCAGAGUCAUCAGCCUCUCUGAGUACAGCUUCCAGGCGUACCUGAUCAUUCCAAAAAUAUAGGAUCAGUAUUUGUUCAGAGACGGUACUUUAGUUGGAACUAUUUGGCAUGACUAUAACAGAAUACAUACUUCUCAUAAAUUCUCUUCAGGCCUCCUCCUUCAGACAUUUUUUCCCAGUAGCUUGGAUCCACACCUUUUUGCACUCUCAAAGAAGUUGACCAAGAUAUCAGCCUUGUCUGUAUGGCAAGGAUCGAUGUGCAGAUCAGACACGCCAUCCAGGAUUAUUUCAGCAAGGCCACCAUGGUAUGUCUCAAUUGUCGGCAAACCACAUGUCGUGGCCUCAAUGACAGUCAGGCCAAAAGCUUCAUAAAACGCGGGCUAGAGACAAUUGAAAUAAGGGUUUACUCUAGUGCAAACUCAAGGCUGUUCUUUCCAAAUGUUGAUUACAAUAGAAUAUGAAAUGGCAUGGUGUAUACGUGCACAAAUGCUCCCUUGGUAUCACUCGCAUAUGUAGCGGUAUAGCUCACCAUUGCGAACACGGCUCAUCUGAGCUGAGAUCCACUUGAUAUGGCCCUUCAGAUUGUACUCGUCAAUGAGCCUGUACAGUACAUCCUCUUGAACUCAAACCUAUUCCUCCCUAGUCCGAGUCCCUAUCCUUUGCAAUGAACCAAAACUCGUUCAGUUUAACUUGACGUUAAUUCCACAUUGCUAAGAUUCUGGAGCAUCGGCAAAUGGUCUUCAGUGACCGUACUUCCUUGCCUGACGACUGGUACGUAGAAGUGGCAUACUUGUAGUGAUGCCGUCCUCUUUCACUGGAAAGGAACAAUAGCAUCAGGCCAACCAACCAAAUCCCAGGAUCAUUGUAAACUAAGUGCUCGUUACAUGGCUGUUGCAUUUCCUAAUACCUCCCACUCCCAGCGUCUUCGAUGUAGUGCAGUUUACACUGGCCGUCCAGUUUCACAUGUAAUACGAAAUAAACUUUGAGUUGACUUGUGCACUAGCGCUAUUAAUCCACUAUACUCGUUGCAAAGAAAAUAAUCUGUAUAUUAGCCACCUUUCCUCGCUCUCAAUUCUGAAGCUUUAUUUGAGAUCUCCAAGAGUGUCCCUUCCCUCCCAUUUAUAAACAAGACUAACUUAUCAACUUUAUUUCCAUUUAUUACUUUGAAAUAAUAUGAUGCAAAGGCUGCAACAAUAUAUACCUGGCAUUUGUGUGCGCACCAUGCCAAUAUAUAACUGGUUGUUAGUUGUUGCUGUGGCGCAGGGCAACCAUUGAUGAGAUGUUGGUACAGCAGUUACUGGAAGCGAGGUGGGGGUGUUUUGUCUUCCAGCAAAAUCUCCUCUGGCCGGCUAGUUUUGUGUUAGUGGGUUGUUAGAGAACACAAGGUCUAGUCUAUUGGCUAGAUUAGGCAGCAACAACGUUUCCUUUGGUUCUGCUUUAGGGGUGAUUGCCCCAGGUUUGCCUUUGGUUAGACAACAACAUUGGCGUGCGAGCGGGCAAUUCCUUCUUAAAGGUAUUGUCUGGAGUUGUGCGCCCUUUGAGUGGCACACGUCGCUCGAAUGGUACAUUAUGGUCCAGGGUCAUAGGGUUUGAGGAGAUGUUACGACAAGGUAGGUCCAAUGGGCAUGGUCUCUAGUUUUCCUUUCUUUUACUAUAAGCCGAUUUAUUGGGCAUCAAAGCUUGGCAUUGUUUGAUAUUGUUUCAAGCAAUUCAUGAUUUAUUUUAGUAGUAUGCAUUAAUCAAUGCAGAGGCCAAGAAUUAAACUCCUUUUUAAAAAGAAUGCAAAAUAGGGGCAAAAAUGGCUACCAACGAAAUUUUGUCAUUGAGAUCAAGUCUAGGUAUACAUCAUCUAACUCUCGACAUGAUUUUGUAGUAAUAUAACUGUAACUAAAUUGAUUGGAAAAAACUUGAGUGUAUCACAACAUUAGAUAACAAGACACUAAAACAAUCAAAGGAAAAAACAAUAAUAUGUGGCACAUACAAAAAGAAUAAGGGUGCCUCUAUUUGCAUAUGGACAUAACAUUAUAGAAUUUUUACUUGUUUGUUUUGGCCAAACUGUACAAUAGAUCAGCUUGAAACUUUAAGGUCAAAAUAAAUUAGUACUACAAUGUGUAAAACUGAUUUCAGAAAUUUCUAAAAUGAUAGGAUUGCACCUGAUACUAGAAAUGCCUUCUUUCAACAACUAGAGUGUUUGUGUAAACCAUUGAUCAUGCUUGCAAUAGUUUCACUUCUUGUAAUCGUUAUCACAAGUUAGGCAACUAAAAUGAUGAACACAAUGGAGUGCAUUUAUUUGAGGAAACAUUUAUGCAGAAAGUAAGAACCAGAAAGCACUACACAAACCUUGCAUAAGUCCAAGACGAAAAAGUACAAACCUCACGACAGACCAACUACGAUAAACUAUGAAAACAUAGCCGACACUUUUUUAAAGACUGCAUAGCAACACUUGACUUAUAAAGGCUGCCACUCUUCAUGCCCCGCAUCAGUGAUGGAGCUAGCCCGUGCGUGGACCAUAGACAAAACAAAAAGGCAUGUCGUUGAUGGGCAUUUGGCCAGUAAAAUGGAGGAUCAAUUCUUCAUCUCCCGCUAUAAUGUACUGAAAGUUUUUGGGCAGAGCCUGGGCAUCUGCUCACGGUCGUCGGGAGGUGACUCCGCCAGUGCCCCACAUAGUUAGUUGUCAGAAUUGUGGUUGUCGAUAGACAAAGGAACAACCAUGGGCCACCUCUGGAUUCAACAUAAUAAUGCAAAUUAUAAGCAAAGCAUGUUAAAAUGGAUAUUAAUAGUCAUUGUUCAUUGAAAAUUAAAUAACUUAUCAAGUUGUGGUAACUUAGAGUAUCGAACAUCGAGUAGGCGUUGCCACCUUGGGAUUUUAGUUCUUGUUGUUCUUUACGAAAUAGAAAUAUGCAAUGCAAAUUAUUGAAAAUUGGGAUUGUUGUAGUGGAUACCUCAAUAUGGAUUUCUUGUAAUCUUAAAAUUCUGAAAUUGGAUUCCAACUUCUUUUUAAGAUCUUAUGAUCAAUAUCAUGAAUAUUACUUUAAAUUAAAAUUAGUAUUUUAAAUUUUGCAAUAUUCUUCAUCAGCUCCAGCAAUGAGCACUAGUAGAAAAGAGGGCUUUGGUCCACCCCGGUUUAGCCCAUUAGUCCCGGUUCAGUCUGGAACCGGGACUAAUGGGGGCAUUAGUCCUGGUUCGUGCGCCCAGGGGCCACGUGGGCCAUUUGUCCCGGUUCAUCUGGACCUUUUAGUCUCGGUUGGUGCCACGAACCGGGACUAAAGGGUGCGAUGCCCAUUAGUCCCGGUUCGUGGCACCAACCGGGACUAAAGGGUUAGACCACUGGUGGAAAAAAGGUCUUUGGUCGCGGUUCGCAACUGCCAUUAGUCGCGGUUGCGCAACCGCGACCAAAUAAGCGCGACUAAAGCCCCCCACCUUUAGUCGCGGCUGCUUAAGAACCGCGACUAACGGCCCGUCCACGUGGGCGCCAGGCGGCCGUCGGGGCGGAGGACCUUUAGUCGCGGUUCUUCUGGCCAACCGCGACUAAAGGCCGCCACAGGUUUAGGGUUUUAGCCCCCCCCCCUAAACCUGUUUUCUGUUUAAUUUGUAUUGUUUUAUUUCUUUUGUGCUUUAUUUUAAUUUUGAAGGAGUUUCAUAUAUUCUACGGUACUAUUAGAACCAAAAAGAAUUCAAGAGGAAUAUACAAUAUAUAUUCAAUAUCAUCGGAUGACCAUAUACAAUUUUGAACAAGUUUCCAUACAUGAUUUAAUGCAUAUAAAGUUCUACGUCCUCGUAAUAGUGUUCUCCUUUAGGAUGGAGGACUUCCCUGCUGAACCAUCCAGCUAGUUCCUCUUGAAGUGGUCGGAAGCGAGCUUCUGGACUAAGCAUCCACCGGAGGUUAUUCCUCUGAGCAUUGGUAUCACUCGGAACCCGCUCAGAGGUGUAUCUCCGGAUCAUCUCACAGACAUAGUAUCCACAUAGAUUGGUCUCCGGUGGCUGAAUAUCCCCAGCAUUCUUAGCCUUUAACAUUUUGAAUUCUAGCUCUUUUUUGAAUUCACCGACCUUUGUAUCUACGAACCGUCUCCAAACCCUACGAGGCAAAGAAAAUUAAAUGAACAAGAGAGUUAUUAAUUAGUUACUUGAUAUUAGGAAAUGAACGAAAUAGGGCGAUCGAUAUAGAGCGCAAAUGAAUGAAAAUAAUUACUUCUGCAGCAUUCUUCUCAUGCCGCCCCAAAGCUUUGGAUCCAUAUUCACAGAGUCGUGGACGAGACAUUCUGAGGUGUUAACUUUAAUUACUAGCAGAAUCCAGUGGAACCUGCGGACACGAUACAUGCACAGUACGUCAUGCAUAACUCAUCGAUUAGCCGGCCACAUACCAUGCAUGGAGUAAACAAAAGAGAAUGUGCUCAAGACAGAAACACUCACUCAAAAUGGUAAGGAAAUAGAAUAUCACUUUUGAGUUCCUGCUUUGUAAGAAACUGCCACAGGUCUGCCUCCACGUCGGCGGGGUAACGCUCCAACACAUGUCCAUUAACGAUGUGUGGGUCAAUGAACCCAACAUCAUGGAUGUUCCUUACUCUGCAUUCCUUAAUCUUCAUUCUGCAUGUAUAAUAGCGGACACAACAAUAUAGUUAGGACAUAUAUAUAGUGCAGGUAAUAUGAACGAGAUGGGGUAGAAAUUAAUAAAUCACUUACAGAACGUAGCAACUGAUGAUAGAUUUAUCGAGCUCGCGCAGAUUGAAAAGCUGGAACAAUUCACUCAGUUCAAUUUGUACAUAGUAAUGUUUGAAGUGAUGCUCAUGUCUAACUUCCGCAUAAAUAUAUUCUUUGGCGUUUUUAUUUUUUAUGUAACCCUUGUACCAUUUCAGCAGACCUUUCAUUUGUGGAGGUAGAUCCUUUUCCUGCGCAGGCUCGACGAGAGGCCCAUUCUUGACAUAUGUAAUUACUACCUCCUUCACUGGCGCCUCAUCAAGGCCUAACAGUUCACGAAGAGUAAUACCUAAGUUGGCCGCUUGUUCUCUGGCACUCGUUACAGUCAAUCCCUGUGCUGCCGCAGCUUGUAUGAUCUCGGGGGCAUCCGGACAGAAGGCUUCCACUAUAAGCGGGGCAAUCGAUUGUUUACUUUGUUUCCCGAGCUGGGCAACUUGUUUCCCGCUUUUUUUACUUUCGGCCUUCUCCCGCUCUUUGUUCUCCUUGAACAUGAGUGCCUGCCUGCGAAGUUCACGUGCAUAGUCGUUAGGCAGAUUCUUCGCGGCUUGGGACGGUGUGCUCAAAAAUGACUUAGCCCACUUCUUUUGCUCAUCAGAAAAUACUGGCUUGCGCUCGGGCUCUCUUUUCUUCUUGCAGUCCGCCUUCCAUUUCUCCAAAUCAGCAGCCGCGGUCGCGUCGACUUCCUCGGCACUACGUUCCCAAGGCCUUGUGGGGAGAGGCUUCAGUGAUGGCUCCGGUACCUUUGUGGUCUUAGGUACAUAAGGGUCCGGGUUAAUAAUCCAGGACUGCUUCUGCUUCUUUGCCGGAGGUGGAUUGGGGGGCGGCGUCUGAUCACCCGCCGGAUGAGGACUGGGGGGCGGCGGCUGAUCACCCGCCGGACGUUGUGGACUGGGGGGCGGCGUCGGCUGACGUGACGGAGGUGUAGGUGAACCGCCGCCACCACCACCACCACCACCACCGCCACCGCCACCACCACCACCGUAGGGGGGUGGACUUGUUGUCCUUGGCGCCUCUCCUGGAAACUUGAUAAACUUCUUUUGCCAUAGAAUGAAAUGGCGCUUGACAUCUCCAAGUCUUUUCUCCCCUUCAGGUGUAGCAAUGUCAAUCUCCAGGUCCUCAAACCCUUGGACUAUGUCCUCCACCGUGACACGAGCAUAGCCAUCUUGAAUGGGGUUGUUGUGGUGGAGUGCUCCAGGUAAACAUGGUAAAGCACUGCCGAUGGCUACCUUCAUGGACAUGUUCCCGAUAGGAUAAUACAGAUGACAUUCUUUCAUCUCCUUUAUAUCGUCCACGGGGUAGCGAGGAGGCUCCGGUGAAGUAAUUUCGACCACCAGAGGCUCCGGUGCAGUAAUUUGGACCACCAGAGGCUCCGGUGCAGUAAUUUCGAUCGUCGGUGCAUCUGCACCAGCCGGUGGGGCCUCCGUGGAAGCCACGCUACUUCUCAGCUGCUGGCUUCCGAGAUCCGCUGGAUGAUCUUCAUGCUGCACCCGAGCUGCAUCUCUUUCGGCUACUAGUACACUCAUGGUUUUCUUCAUCACAUCCAUUUCCGAUGCCAACCGCGCCACAACAUCUGCUUCCCGAUCCAUCUUUCUCUUACGGCUUCUGUAACCGUAUGGGUCAUCGUUCUGGGGGAACCCUAUUUUCCACGGAAUGUGCCCCAUGCCUCGUACACGUCCUCCGUGUUCAGGAUUCCCGAGGGCUUUUGUCAGCGCGUCGUUCUCUCUGUUGAACUUGAUCUUCCCCUGUUGAGCAUCCCUCAUUGCGUUAAUAAGGGAUUGGGUGGGUUUAAUUAAUUUGCCCCGGUAAACACACUCCCCUGUCUCCGGGUUCAGCGUUCCCCCAUGCCCGUACCACCAGCUUUUGGCCCUUGGGUCCCAUCCCUCCGUACCUGGAUGGAUUCCUCGCGCCCUCAGCUCGUUCUCCAUCUUCUCCAACCUAGGCACCCAAAUGCGAUACCCUCCUGGCCCCAUAACAUGAUUGUACUCCUUCUUAGCCGCAUUUUCCUUAUUUUUUUUUGAUAUUUGAAUGAACUGCUCCGAUUUCUUUUGCUUCACAAAUUCUGGCCAAUCAUGUUUCAGUUUCUCAUAUUGUCCUUUGAAAUCCGGAGUCUUGUUCUGCUUGACAAAGUCAUGGGCUAGAUUUUGCUUGAAUUUCCGGAAUGCGUCGGCCAUCUUAUGAAGAGCGAACUGUUUGACUAGCCUCCUCCUCUCCUUGUUUUCCUCAAUCUUGUUACCCUCCUCAUCGAAUUUGUUGUAUUCCGGAGGUAGAACGAAAUGUUCCAUAAGCUUCUUGAAGCAAUCUUUUUUUGUUCUCUUAUCGACAAAAGUGAAACCAUCAAUUCGUGCCUUCUUUGGCUCAUUCCACUCCUGGACGGUGAUCGAGACGUUGUCUCUAACAAUGGCUCCGCAUUGGCUGACAAACUUGGUGGCGUUCUUGCGGGGCUCCAGCGGCCUGCCGGUUGCACUGUCGACAACCUCGAUGGUGCAUGUUUCUCCUUGUUUCAUCGUCUUGGUUGCGCCACGCUUUGACGACGUACUCGAUUGUUUCGACGAUCUGGCCGAGGGCUAAAAUAAGAAAGAGUCGCGCGCGUUAGUACACACAUAUUUAUUCAAAUCAGUUAGUUUGUAUCACCAGAGGCUCAAUGUAUAUAUAUACCUCGGUGCCGGAGGUGGUUGCUACUUCCAUUUGAAGAUCGUCGUUUAUCGACGUUUGUUCGGCAUCAUCUUGCUGACGGCGCCCUUCAUCUUCACCGUCAAGGUUCAGAUAAGAAGAGAUAUCAUCUUCUUCUUCUCCGGUCGGCACAUAUAGAAUAUCGCCGUUUAUGAUGCCGAACAUAUGUGCUUCACCGUUCGGAUCAUAGUUGUCCAUAAUCGGGUCAGCUCUAUCGUCCGCCAUUAUGUCAGUCCUGAAAACAUGUAGUAAAAACAAAUUAAUUAAGUGAAGAAGGGGGGCGGUGGCGGUGGCGGUGGCGAAAGGGCGGUGGCAAAAGGAGGGGGCGAGGAAGGGGUGGGAGAGGGUGUCGCGGUAGAGCGCGAGACGGGGCGGCAGACGACGGCGUCACGGAGAGGGAGGAAAUUCCAAUUUGUCAUGUCGCGAACCCAAAAUGGGCCGGCCCAGGUGAGCUACGUCCUGUGAGACGCGUCGACUUUUUGAUGCAAAGAGCGUCACACAGGGCUGGAUAUGACGCUGUCUGCGUCAAACUGUCGAGCGAACGCACCUACGAGGGUUCCCAACCCUUUUUUUAUUUUCAUUUCUUUUCCUUUCUUUUUCUGUUUCGUUUUUCUUUUCUUUUUUUGUUUAUUGUUCUUUUUCUUUUUCUUUUUAAAAAAUGUUCUCCUUUUAAAAAAUGUUCUAUUUUUCAAAAAUGUUCAUAUUUUCAAAAAAUGUUCGAUUUUCACAAAUUUGUUCGUGUUUUCAAAUUUUGUUCCGGAGUUUCAGAAAAUUGUUUGUGUUUUCAAUUUUUUUUGCCGGCUGUAGCCAACUAUCCAUUCGUCCUGCAAGGAAGGGGAACAGGGGACGAGGUGGGAGAAGCUCACGGCGAGGAGGGACUCCUUGGCGGAGAGGCGCUCCGUCUCGCGGGCGUAGCUGGUAGCGGGCUCCCACGCCUGUGCGUACACGUCGUCCCGCCGGGGACGGACGGGUGGCGGCCUGGAUGAGCAGCGGGACAGACGGGCGGCGGCCCGGAUGAGCAGCGCGGCGGCCGGGGUCGGACAGGCGGCGGCCUGGAUGAGCAGCACGGCGGCCGGGACGGACGGUCGGCGGCCCGGAUGAGCAGUGCGGUGGGCGAGGGCGACGGCGGGCGGCGUCGAGGGCGAGGGCGACGGCGGGCGGCGUCGAGGGCGCGGCAGAGACGAACAGGCGGGAAUCGGAGAAGACGAGAAUCGGACCUCGUAUUUAUAGCCCCCCCCCUUUAGUCGCGGGUUGCCUGCCCAACCGCGACUAAAGGGUUUUUGGCAGGUUUUUUGCGUUCCCGCGCCCCCACCUUUAGUCGCGGUUGGUCUGGCCAACCGCGACUAAAGGGUAACCUUUAGUCGCGGGUCUCGUCGCCAACCGCGACUAAAGGCCGCCGCAGGUUUAGGGUUUCACCCCCCCCCCAAACCUGUUUUCUGUUUAAUUUGUAUUGUUUUCUUUUUAAUUUGUAUUGUUUUCUGUUUAAUUUGUAUUGUUUUCUUUUUAAUUUUUAUUGUUUUCUGUUUAAUUUCAUGUAUCAUCAGUGGUAUCUCGAAUCAUUCGAAAAUGGACACCAAACACAUCACGGGUAAUAUAAUUCACAUGAUCCAUUCAACAAAGUUUGCUACAAUAAAUUAUUACACAUCAUUUCUUCCCUUGUGUCCCUGCUUGCUUACGAUUGUGCCGUAUCCAUGGAGCAUCCUCAUCAUUUAACUUAAUGCUUGGGUCGGUGUUCACUUUGAAGGGCGGAAUUUCAGCAAACAUAUUAUAAUCUUCUGACAUGUCUGUCUUGUCCUCCACUCCCACGAUGUUUCUUUUCCCUGAAAGAACAAUGUGGCGCUUUGGAUCAUCGCAUGAUGUACGGAUCGUUUUCUUAUCUUUCCGUUUCCUCGGUUUGCUACUCAUGUCCUUCACAUAGAAAACCUGAGCGACAUCUUUCGCUAGGACGAAUGGUUCGUCAAGGUAACCAAGAUUGUUGAAAUCCACCAUUGUCAUUCCGUAUUGCUGGUCCACCUUUACCCCACCUCCUGUUAGCUUGAACCAUUUGCACCGGAACAAAGGGACCUUAAAGGAGGGUCCAUAGUCAAGUUCCCAUAUCUCCUCUAUGUAACCAUAAUAUGUGACCUUUUGCCCAUUCUCGGUUGCUGCAUCAAAGCGGACACCACUGUUUUGGUUGGUGCUCUUUUUAUCUUGGGCGACCGUGUAAAAUGUAUUCCCAUUUAUCUCGUACCCUUGGAAAGUCGUUAUAGUCGAAGAUGGUGUCUUGGCCAACAUGUACAGCUGAUCUACAACAUCAUUGUCAUUCAUUAAAUGUUUUCUCAACCAACUGCCGAAAGUCUCCAUGUGGGCCUUCCUAAUCCAGGAUUCAGGCUUCCCCGGGUUGUCCGAGCGUAAAAUAUUCUUGUGUUUCUCAAAGUACGGAGCCACCAAGCUGGAAUUGGUCAGUACAGUGUGGUGUGCUUCAGUCAGAGAAUGGCCGUCCAUACAUAUCGUUGAUUUCCUUCCGAUCGUGCCUUUUCCACUUAGUCUCCCCUCGUGCCGCGAUCGAGGAAGACCAAUCGGCUUAAGGUCAGGAACAAAGUCAACACAAAACUCAAUUACCUCCUCAUUUCCAUAGCCCUUGGCGAUGCUUCCUUCUGGCCUAGCACGGUUACGAACGUAUUUCUUUAAUACUCCCAUGAACCUCUCGAAGGGGAACAUAUUGUGUAGAAAUACAGGACCGAGAACGAAAAUCUCUUCGACUAGGUGAACCAGGAGGUGCGUCAUAAUAUUGAAGAAGGAUGGCGGGAACACCAACUCGAAACUGACAAUACAUUGGAUCACAUCGUUCUGUAACCGUGGUAGAACUUCUGGAUUGAUUACCUUCUGAGAGAUUGCAUUGAGGAAUGCACAUAGCUUCACAAUGGCUACUCGAACAUUUUCCGGCAGGAGCCCCCUCAAAGCAAUCGGAAGCAAUUGCGUCAUAAUCACGUGGCAGCCGUGAGACUUCAGGUUUUGGAACUUUUUCUCCGCCAUGUUUAUUAUUCCCUUUAUAUUGGACGAGAAUCCAGACGGGACCUUCAUACUGCUCAGGCAUUCAAAAAAGAUGACCUUCUCUUCUUUGGUCAGAGCGUAGCUGGCACGACCUUGAAACCAUUCCGGAUGCCGGUCAUCAGGGUCUUUCAAACGUUGUUGGUCCUGCCGUGCUUCCUUUGUAUCAUUUGUCUUCCCAUACACGCCCAAGAAGCUUAGGAGGUUCACGCAAAUAUUCUUCGUAACGUGCAUCACGUCGAUUGCAGAGCGGACAUCUAGGACUUUCCAAUAUUCUAGCUCCCAGAAUAUAGAUUUCUUCUUCCACAUGGCUGCGUGCCCGUCAGCUCCCUUCAGAACUGAUUGUCCGCCAGGACCCUUUCCAAAGAUGACUUUCAAAUCCUUGACCAUAUCAAAUACCUCAGCACCAGUGCGUUCCGCAGGCUUCGGCCGGUGAUCUGCCUUGCCGUUGUAAUGCUUGCCUUUCUUUCUUACUGGAUGAAUUUUCGGAAGAAAUCGACGAUGCCCAAGGUACACGUUCUUCUUACAAUUUGGCAAAUGUACACUUUCAGUCUCAUGUAAGCAGUGCGUGCAUGCAUUGUAUCCCUUAUUUGACAGUCCCGAAAGGUUACUAAGAGCAGGCCAAUCGUUGAUGGUUACGAAAAGCAACGCUCGUAGGUCAAAUUCCUCUUGUUUGUGCUCAUCCCACACACGGACACCACCCCACAGCUGUAAAAGUUCAUCAACUAAUGGCCUUAGGUACACAUCGAUGUCGUUGCCGGGUUGCUUCGGACCUUCGAUGAGCGCUGGCAUCAUAAUGAACUUCCGCUUCAUGCACAACCAAGGAGGAAGGUUGUAGAUGCAUAGAGUCACGGGCCAGGUGCUAUGGCUGGAGCUCUGCUCGCCAAAAGGAUUCAUGCCAUCCGUACUUAGAGCAAAUCUUAUGUUCCUUGCGUCAGCUGCAAAAUCUUUGAACCAUCUGUCGAUCUUUCUCCAUUGCGUUCCAUCUGCGGUGUGUCUCAACUCCCCGUCCGACUUACGGUCCUCUUUGUGCCAUCGCAACAACUUGGCAUGCUCUUUGUUCCUGAACAGACGUUUCAACCGUGGUAUUAUAGGAGCAUACCACAUCACCUUGGCGGGAACCCUCUUCCUGGGUUUCUGGCCCUCAACAUCGUCACCAGGGUCAUCGCCUCUGAUCUUAUAACGCAAUGCAGUGCAUAUCGGGCAUUCAUUCAAAUUCUCGUAUUCACCGCGGUAGAGGAUGCAGUCGUUGAUGCAUGCAUGUAUCUUCAGAACCUCUAAACCUAGAGGGCAGACAACCUUCUUUGCUUCGUACGUACUGGCGGGCAACUCGUUAUCCUUUGGAAACAUAUUCUUCAACAUUUUCAGCAAGUUUUCAAAUGCCGAGUGAGCUACACCUGCCUCUGCCUUCCAUUUCAGCAAAUCCAGUGUGCAGCCCAGCUUUUUCAGACCAUCAUCGCAUCCGGGGUACAGCGCCUUUCUGUGAUCCUCUAACAUGCGAUCCAAAUUCUCCCUCUCCUUUUCAGUUUCGCAGCGUCUCCGUGCAUCAGCAAUGGUCCGACCAAGAUCAUCAACGGUAUCAUCACCGUGCCUCUUCUUCACCUUCCCCUUCACCUUCAGCAUCCUCCAUGAAAGUAUCACCGAAAUGAGCAAGAUAGCUUUCAUCGAUGAAAUCAUCCCCUUCUUCAUCUUCUUCCAUUAUAACCCCUCUUUCUCCAUGCUUGGUCCAACAAUUAUAGCUUGGCAUGAAACCGUGCCGAAGCAGAUGCAUGUGAACAUCUCUUGAGGAAGAGUAACCCUUCUGAUUCUUACAGAUAACACAUGGACAGAUAACAAAACCCCCCUGCUUGUUCGCAUUAGCCACUACGAGGAAAUCUUUCAAACCCGUAGUGAACUCGCCGGAGAGUCGGUUACCGUACAUCCAUUGCCGAUUCAUCUGCAUUAUUAUAAUAUAAAAUAUAUAAUUAACCAUCAUGCAUUUGUUAAACUAACUAGCUACAAACAAUAUAAAUUAAACAAUGAACUGCACACAUGCAUAUUUUAUCAAUGACACAUCAAAGGUUCAUCAAGUUGCUAACCGCGAUCGAGGAGUGUGGCUCCAACACUUCAUGUCAUGUUUGUUUCAUGCUCUUGGGGCAUUUCAUCAAACACCUUAUGUGCAUAAGAGGAACCAAAAGCAAACCUACACCCACUUGUGAAGAGAAUGGCUCCAAAUGGCUAAGUGUUGGCUGCUGGAUGAGUAUAUAUAGGGGAGGGGCUUUAGUUGCGGUUGGCCUGGCAAACCGUGACUAAAGGUGCCCGAAGGCCUUUAGUCGCGGUUGUCCUGGCCAACCGCGACUAAAGACCCUCACGUGCGCCAGCUGGCCAUCGAGCGCCCUGGGCCCAGGCCUUUGGUCGCAGUUCACCUCCAGAACCGCGACUAAAGGUCCCAUUAGUCGCGGUUCCUACAGCUUCGCGACUUAUGGGGCUGGACGGAAGCCUGUUUUUCCACCAGUGGACCUUUAGUCCCGGUUCAUGCCACGAACCGGGACUAAUGGGGUUUGAGGCAUUAGUACCGGUUCAUGGCACGAACCGGUACUAAAGGUCCCAUUUUCAAACUCCACCCCCCCCCCCCUUGGAUCGCCUUUUCAGGUUUUUUUUAAAAAAGAAAAUGAUGAAAAUGUCAAAAAAAAAUAAGUUUCCCAUGUGAUAUGUGGUCUAGUUGUUGGAAAAAUUUACAAAUAUGAAUUUCGACUUUAUUUGCAAAAUCUCUCUAGAAUUUAGUAAAAUGGGCAUAACUUUUGCAUACUGACUCGGAUGAAAAAAAAAUUAUAUGAAAAAUCAUCUACUCGAAAAGUUACAUCCAAAUUUAUUAUGGGGCUUUUAAAAUCUAGAGUGGAAAAAAUCGAAAAAAAUUCAAAUUAUGGUCAAACAAUGGUCAAACUAAUUAUUCUAGAAUAUUAGUGUUACUAAAUAAUUAUUUCAGUUAAUUUGAAUUUUGGUCAAAUCUGGUCAAACUGUGGUCAAACAAUGGUCAAACUAAUUAUUCAAGAAAUAUUAGUGUUACUAAAUAAUUAUUGUUUUUUAAAACAAUAGUUUCAAACUCAAACAGUGAAAUGUGUCACUUCAUGCUCACGCAAAAUUCCUGAGGGUUAAUAGGAUUGACAUCUUACUAUUGUCAGCAAAACAACAAGUGCAGACUUGGAAACGAGGGAGAAUAGAACCCGGAAGUUAAGCGUGCUCAGGCUGUGGGAGUGGGAGGAUGGGUGACCGUUUGGGAAGUUAGAUGAUUAGGAAUGAUGAGGGGUGAUUAGAGAUUAGAGGAUAAAUUGAGCAGUGAUGAGGGGUGAUGAUUAGAGAAUAGAGGUUAAAAUAAUUCAGAAAUUUGAAAAUAAAAAAAUCAACAAAAAAAUUUCAAAUUUUUUUUAAAAAAAAAUCAUAAAAUUUCCUUUAGUCCGGGUUGGUGUUACCAACCGGGACUAAAGGUGGAGCUCCACGUGGCCGCGACCUUUAGUCCCGGUUCCAAUUUGAACCGGGACUAAAGGGGGGAGGGAUUAGUAACGACCCUUUAGUCCCGGUUCAAGAACCGGGACUAAAGGCCCUUACGAACCGGGACUGAUGCCCCCUUUUCUACUAGUGGAGGGCCCCACCCAUUGUCGGCCAUGAUUGAUGUGCCAUAGAAAAAGGUGGAAGGAGGAUGCGGCUGCGUUGGAACAGGAAGACUGAUAAACCUCCGGCCUCUGCAUCGACUAAUGCACACAAUCAUAUAGUGUUUAUUAUUAGAAUAAUAUCUAGCAAAAAUAUGCAUUGAUCCCAAAAAAUUAAAUUAAAAAAGAAAAUGAAAACAAAAGACCAUCCACAUAGGACAUGCCUCACAACGACAUCUCCAAAAUCCUAUUGCAAAUCCUAUGACCAUGAACCAAUCGACUCGUGGAGGGAGAUGUGAACUAGCAAAGGGCGCAACACACCAAGAGAAUGUCUUCAAGAAGGAAUCACCUAUUGGAUGGCGUUGUUGGUUGGUUCAACCAUCCAUCGGACUAGGGGCUCUCACCGAGAAGCUGAUCUUUGCAUCAACCUUCAAUAAGGUAAUUAUGUGGAGAGGGUGUUGAUGCCUGAUCAAGUAGAAGGCUAAAUCAAGGGUUUGCUCGCUAAGAGAAUACAACCCCAUAGUCUCCAUCCACCACUCUAUCCGUCUGCUCACACAGAGCAAGCCAGACAAAGUAGAAAUCAUCAAAAGGGAAGAUGUCAUCGCAUACAUUCCAAUUGUUGUCGCACCACCAUCUCGUUGAUAGUUACUCUGUGUGCAAAGACGAUGUCUAUAGCAGUCGUUACUAGAUGCACUAUCCAGGUACAAAGGACAAGUCAUUGUAAAAGUCAGAUUAACUUAAGAACCGGUUUAAUAUAUUAUCUUGGUAGUUGAUAUCCAUUUAUCAAUUUAUGUACCCUUUACGUCUGUUAAGAGCCUCCCCUCAACGAGUUUUCUUUCGCUAGAAGUUUGAAGAAUGUCCUCUAUUCUCUCUGGGCUUUUAAAGAGCAGCUACCGAACGAUGUUCUCCAUUAAAAAUUUUGUAUUCCAGCAACCAUGAUUGCAUCCAAGGUUGCCAACUUGGAAGACAAAUUGUGUCUCUAGAAUUACUUAAUUGAUUGACACAUGGACUGCAAUUGAAACAAUUCUACACGAGAGGAGGGAAAGGAAUUGUACCAUAGUGUCAACGCACAUUGCAGUCAAUCCGGGAAACAUGACCAUGACCCACAAUUACUCGCAAAGUGUGAGAUCCUGGUUUAAUAGUAAUGAUAGACUACUCAUAUCAAUAAAAAAAUCCUUCUAUUUUGGGAUCUCAUUAACAAAGAACUCCAAAGUUAAGCAUGCUUAGCUUGGAGCGAUUUGAGGAUGGGUGACAGACUAAGAAGUCGGCAUCAGAUGCGCACGAGUGAGGGUAAAAUGCGCAGGAAAGACUAGUGUUAUUUUGUGGGGUCAGUCUAAAUCCCGCCAAACGUAUAGGCAAGGAACGGCGGCUGUAGUCGAGCGUUACAAUUGGUAUCAGAGUCAAACCUCACGGUAACACAGGCAUGCUUGGGUCAGGUGUGCGGGCAUAUGGUGCAUGGCAUGUGUGGCCCGUCGCGGCACAAGACAUGGCCCAUGUGCCAGACUGGACGCAUAGACGUAUACCAAGAGGGAAUGUUUCUGUGGGCCGAUGAGGACGUCGGUUCCAUUAACUGGGGUUGUAAGUGAGAUCCUGACUUAAUAGGAAUGACAGACUACUCGUUUAAGGAACUCUUUUUCUUCUGGAGCUCAUUCACAAAGAACUUCAAAGUUAAGCGUGCUUGACUUGAAGUAAUUUAAGGAUGGGUGACCAAUACAAAGUUGUUGCAUUCCUUGAAUCCUCGGUUUCCAUUGUGUAGCCGCUUAAAAAGGCACGGGUGCAUAAUGUUUGUUAAGUUCUGGUUGAAUUGUCAAAGAGGCCAACGAGUGACUUUCCCAGUGAGAUGAAACCACAACAAUUUUAUAUUUCUUUUAGCGGGUUCAUAAUGAUAUCUAUCUUGGGUGGGGCCUCUUCACCACCAAGGAUGCCUAUGUUGUGCUUUUCACCCAAAAUGCUGAUCCCCAAGCUCGCCCACAUCUAUGAAUUCAAUGUGCCUACGCGAAUCAAGAUCUUUGGAUGGCUCCUGCACAUGGACUGCCUCAACACACGUCAAACCAUCAAAAAGAAAACUAUCAUUAAUGACGACACCUUCCUUCUCUAAACCAACACUAAAGAAUAUCAAAAUCAUUUAUUCUUCGAAUGUUACUUCCCUCAAAGUAUUUGGCAGAAGAUGCACAACUGUGUACCAGCCCAUUGGUCAUCUCUAGGGUUUAUCAAAGAUCCCUCAAUUAUCACCCAUGCUUAAACCAUUCUUCAUGCUCGCAGUUAUUUGGAAAAUAUGAUACUCAAGCAAUGCACAAAUGAGAACCUUGGCACAAAUGUUGUAAUAGCUAUCAAACUUCGACCUAUGGACAAAUCGGCUUCAAAACCACAAGAAGGUGACCUGAUUUCCUUCUCUCCUGUAUAAGACCCAAUCAGCAUAAUUUGCUCAACAACCUGUCAAAGCAUUUUCCAAUACCUUCCAAUCUUUGCAUCUUGGGCACACCAUUGCACGUUUCCUACUAUGUGUGACAUGCGUUACUAAAGAAACUGCAAGCUAAGUUUGGCAUUUGCACUACUGUAUUUCUAGCAAAGAAACCAUCUUAUGAUGCAAAUCACACACCCCUCGCCUCGUCACCCCUCCUCUUAUAAAGUGUAACUUGAAUGCCACUUACGAUAGUACAGAGGCAAUAAAUUCCAAACAAAUAUUAUUUGAGGAGAUGAAUGCAUUCCUAUUCCUAUCACCAGCUUCUCUAACAGCACAAAAUUUGCAGAAACAAUCACUCGCGCAGGAAUGGACAAUUGGAUAGCUCUUUGCAUUUGCAUGUUCACCUUAGUCAUUAUUUAUACUUGGGGUCAAACAAACUCCAAUGAACUUUUUGGAAAAAUGGGUUUUGCUCCUCCAAAACAACUUUAUAUGUUUAGAAUCAUCUCAAAUACGCAAACAGACAUAGUUAAAGGAUGAUCAUAGUUCAGUUCUCUUCAUUCAUUUUUGGAAAUGACUUGUUUUCACCCGGCUGGUAUUUGUCGAUUCAUUAGCCACGUCGGGCCCCAUUCGAUCUCGCACGAUUGUGCGACCUUCACCUAGGCACGUACCCUAUCAUGUGCACACGUUAGCCCGCCGCUCCAAGCCUCCAACCUUAUCUUUUCAUCCUCAACCAUUUCCUCUCGAUCCUUCCUUUCCCCCAUGUCUAUCUCUCUCCCCGUCUCAACCACUCCACACGACGUAGCAAUGGUGAUCCAUGAGAGGCACCGCUACUAGAGACAAUGCUAGAAGCCUCGACUACACCAUCGAUGUGAGCUAGCCACCCAACAACAUCUAUGUUGCAAGCCCUACAGCAACAACAUGAGGUAGUGGCCACCGAUGCUGUGAGGGCCGGUCUCGGUUGUUGCCUAGCUCGGUGACUGGGGGCACCGCAAGGCCCAGACUCGGCUGCUGCAAGCCGCCAUGCAUUGCUACUGCGAGAUGCCACGCACCGCUGCUGCAAGCCGUCGGGGCGUCAGUGAUGCGAGUCGUCUUCGGUGCUGCAAGCCGUCACCCAUCUCUACUGCAAGGCCAGUGUUGUAAACUCACCUCUAGAGUUCUCAAAGGGGACAACACCUGGUGAUGCGAGGACAAGAAACGAGGUGGGUGCACAACACCUGGGUGUUGCAGGACGCCAACCCAUGCGUUGCUGCGAGCUUAUCCAGGUUUGCUGCAAGUGAGCUGGAGUUUGUUGUGGGGCCACCAUCGAUGCUAGAAUGACGGCUGAGAGAACAGUGGUGAUUUGUUGUGAGACCAUGGUGUGGUUGUUGCGAGCUUUGCCAAGCAUUGUCGCGAUCGAGCAGGAAUUUGUUGUGUUGGGGAGCCGCUGGGGUGAUGCUCUGACUAGCAGCCAUGGAUUUUGCGACGACGGGCAGCUAGUGUUGUGAGUGUGGGCGGCUUGCACUACUAUAGUGUGCCAAGUGUAGCCUACCACUGCAACAACGUUGCUAUGGCAUGGCUAGAGGUGUUGCAUGUGUUGCCACGAUUAUGUUCGGAUGGUGGCAGCAAUGCUUCUGCGGUGGUCGUCAGUGCGGCAACGAGCGGAGCUGACAUGUGCCCGCAAUAGACGCUGCUCUAGCCGACGAGGAAAGCGUGUAGGAGGAAGAUGCGGUGGGAAAUACGCAAGGCGAGAGGGAUGAUAGACGGCGUUGAGCAAACGGCUUAGAGCAUCUCCAGCUGUUUGGCCCCCCCAGGGGCUUGAGAUAGCGCCGCUUGGGGGGCAACCAACGGUAAAUCCGGCCUGGAAGGGGGGGGCUCGGGUUCCCAGCCGACCCUCCCAGUCGCCGAUUUUGGCACAAUUUAGGCCCAAUUUCGGCCCAAAUUUGGCGUGCUUCGGCACAAAUUCAACAAAAAACUCAAAUACUCCAUCACAGAAAUCAAUACAAAUUCAGCCCAAAUUCGGCGUUCAUCACAGAAAUCAAUACAGAUCGAAUAGUUCAACGAAGUAAACUCAUAAUUAAAACUCAUAGUUCAUCACACGUCGAACUAGAUGUUUCCCUUGAGCCUCCAUAGGUGCUCCACCAGAUCGUGCUGCAGUUCUUGAUGCACCUGUGGGUCUCAGAUCUCUGACGCAUAUUGAGGAAGGCAGCCCAUGAUGCCGGCACCUAGUGAUCAACUUGGGCAAGAGGACCCUGCCUGCAAUAUGAUUCAGUGUCAAACAUUGGCUCUUCCUGCUCGCUCUUAAUGAUCAUGUUGUGCAAGAUGACAUAGCAAGUCAUCACUUCCCACAUUUGAUCUUUCGACCAGGUCAGAGCGGGGUACCGGACAACGGCAAAUCGAGACUGGAGCAAACCAAAUGUCUGCUCGACAUCCUUCCUGCAGGCCUCCUGACACUUGGCAAAGUAGUUCUUACCUCCUAGCACAGGGUUGGAGAUAGUCUUCACAAAUGUGGACCAUCUCGGAUAGGAUGCCAUCUGCUAGGUAGUAUCCCUUGUUGUAGUGGCGCCCAUUGACCUCGAAAUUCACCGGAGGAGCAUGACCUUUAACAAGUUUGGCAAAGACAUUCAAGCACUACGGUACGUUGAUGUCAUUGUGCGUUCCUAGCACACCAAAGAAGGAGUGCCAAAUCCAGAGGCCCUGUGUGGCCAUUACCUCAAGUACCACACUGCAAGCUCCUUUGGCUCCUUUGUACAUCCCCUGCCAAGCAAAUGGAUAGUUUUUCCAUGCCCAAUGCAUGCAGUCAGUGCUUCCAAGCAUCCCAGAAAAUCCUCUUGCUGCAUUCUGUGUUAGGAUCUGAGCCGUGUCUUCAGCAUUGGGUGAUCGCAAGUAUUGUGGUCCAAACACUGCCACCACUGCCCUGCGGAACUUGUACAAACACUCAAUGGUGGUGGACUUGGACAUGCAUUCAUAGUUUCCAGUAUAUCAUCGGGAGCUCUGUAUGCAAGCAUCCUCAUAGCUGUCGUGCACUUCUGAAGUGAGUGGAAUCCAACUAUGCGGGUGCAAUCAUCCUUGCAAAUAAAGUAGCUGUCAAACUCCCGGAUGGCAUUCACAAUCCUGAGGAAGAGCUUUCGGCUCAUCCGAUAACGGCGCCCAAAUACUUUCUCGCCAUGUAGUUGAGUGUCGGCGUAGAGCAAGCAAUAGCUCUCCAGUCGAUGCCUCUGCUUGCACUUACGGCGGCCCGGCGCCAAGCCACCUCGUGCGGCUUUGCAUUGCUCGCGAACAGGCCGGCUAGAGCGGCGAGGAUUAUGAGGUGCGCUUCGCCCUGGGUAUCGGCCUCGACUUCCUCCUCCAGCAGCGCCGCGAACACCUCCUCGUCAUCGGAGUCAAUUGCCGAACAGGCAAAUUAAUCACCGAACACCUGGCGGGAGUGGUGGGUGCGCAGCCGCCGAUAUCCCCCGGCCUGCUUGGCCGGAGCGCUGGAAAGCUCGCCAGGAAUGGGAUGGAAGCUGCCGCGGUGAAACCCUCUCUUUCCGACGGUGAAUGGCCUUUCUAGCGGCGGAGCAGCGAUUGUGGGCAGGUGGGCGGCCUCGAGAUCGGCACAGCGACGAAAAGGGGAAGUGGCGUCCUACAACGCUCCGGAUUGAAUCUGGGCGGGGAAAGUCAUUUCUCGCCUGACAGUGGCGGCUCACGGGCCACUUUUCCUUCCGCCAGAGCCCCCACGUGCCUCCCAGUGCGCUGGGUUUGGCCUGGGAUCGCCGGGCCAAAAAAUGGGCGCAACCAACGGAAUUCANNNNNNNNNNNNNNNNNNNNNNNNNNNNNNNNNNNNNNNNNNNNNNNNNNNNNNNNNNNNNNNNNNNNNNNNNNNNNNNNNNNNNNNNNNNNNNNNNNNNNNNNNNNNNNNNNNNNNNNNNNNNNNNNNNNNNNNNNNNNNNNNNNNNNNNNNNNNNNNNNNNNNNNNNNNNNNNNNNNNNNNNNNNNNNNNNNNNNNNNNNNNNNNNNNNNNNNNNNNNNNNNNNNNNNNNNNNNNNNNNNNNNNNNNNNNNNNNNNNNNNNNNNNNNNNNNNNNNNNNNNNNNNNNNNNNNNNNNNNNNNNNNNNNNNNNNNNNNGGGGGGGUGAGUGCAUAUGCUCUUACACGAGCGGAACCAAGGGCAGAAGUGGGGGUGAUCUUUCCCUCAGUACAGCCGGUUGGAGCCUAGCCUCGUCCUCCAUUUUCUCCUUGCAAAAAAAAGUAUGUUCACGGUGAACAAAGUAGCUUAAGAUAAGCGGGUGGCCUAAUUGACGGCCACCCUUUGGGAAUUGUGACAUCCACCCUCAGCCACUGAGCGCACGCCCCACACAGAGCGGUUGUCAAAACGAGUCCUCCUCCUUAGCGCCUGUAGUGCCAAAUAAGAGCAAGUAUAAUAGGGUGAUGUAAUCAGGCUAUAAGGAUUUAAAUAUUAUAUUCUUAUUUAGUUGGAAGAGAGAGAAAGGAGCGGGCUGCAAACUAGUAGCCAGCUGCAGCACGUGCUCCAAGAAGCAUUGUGAGAGAAGUUCAUGUAGUGAUAAAGUAGUAAAAUCUUAUAGCACACUAUUAUAUGAGUUGGCUCUUAAGUUGGCUAUAAAUUACAUGGCUACUACAUAUAGCCAACAGUUAGCUCUACUAUUAACCAUGCCCUAAGGCAAACGGCGCUCACAUAGGCGCUUAUUCGGGUGGCCUGAUAAAUAGUUUCCUACCUCCGCCCGCUCGCUACUUGCCUACCUCCUUUUCGCUCCCUCCUUGCUCUUCCACUUGACGGUCGAUACGUAACUGGUCAAUUCUGGACCAUUCGAGAUUCGACCAUUGACUUAAAAAAAAGUUCAUGAAAAAAGGGAAAAUUUAAAAAACAUGACUCUUUUUGUAAAUUUGAAACAAAAAUCAUGAAAUUUGGAGGAAAAAGAAAGAUAAUGAACUUGAGAAAAUGUUCACGACUUUGAAAAAAAAAUUUGAAUUUUUUUAAGAAGUCCAAAAUUUGGACAAAAUUCAACUAUUAUGAAACAAAGUUCACGAAUUUUAAAAAGGUUCAUGUAUGUUUUUAAAAGUUCAUACCAAUUUGAAAAAAAUCAUGAGCUUUGGAAAAAGUUCACGAAUUUCUAAAAUCCAGUAGUUUUGAAAAAAAAAUCACAACUUUGAAAAUAGUCCAUGGAUUUUUAAGAAAAAGUACAUGGAUUUUGAGAAGUCAAUGAAUUUAAAAAGGUUCAAGCAUUUAAAGAAAACAAGAAGAAGAAAAAAGAAAGAAAAAGGAACCAGAAAAAAUAAAAUGAAAAAAACAGAAAAUAAAUAACCCGAAUAAGAACCGUCCGAAAAACCAAAAAAAAGAAAAAAAUCACCGGAAGCUUUCAGAAUUUUCCCAAAACCGGGAGCUUUGCGUGUGCUUCAGUUAGUGGGCUGGGCUGUUCAAAAGUACAAUUGUGCCGGUUAGUCGGCCGGGCCCGGCGGCAGGACCUUGUCCCGGUCGUGCCUUCUGUUUGGCUGGCCGCGAUGGGACUAAUGACCCCCUGGCGUCCGGCUGUCUAGCGUCUUCCCGGCGGCGGAGCCUUGUCCCAGGCUCCCAACCAUGCCUCCCCCUUGUGCUGGUUGUGGUGCGCUGUGGGGGUGGAUUCGGGCCUCCCCCGGCUCAUUCUGUCCCGUGGUGCCCGUCUGUGGUGGAGCGUCUAGCGGCGCCCAAUGUCAUCUCCCCCGGUGAUUGGCGCGGCUCUUCUUCCAGUGGUUGCGGUCUCGGCCUGCUCUGGCUUUCCGUGUCUCUAAUCCUGAUCCAGGUGCCUUUGUGAUUGUGUGGAGUGUGGCCGGGUGAAAGCCUAGCACGGCUUGCCGAUGCUGGCGGCAGUGACACCUGCGGUUGUCGUUCCCUUCUUGAAGGUGCCGCCAUGGGCUCCUCUCCGCGCCCCUACACGAGUAUCGGGUGAAACCCUAGAUCUGGUUCGCUAGAUCGAACGGCAGCAGUGACUCAAUGUUGUAUCCUUCAUGAAGGCGCUGUCUUGUUACUCGUGAUGUGUUCGGUGAUGGAUUUGAUGACUUCAGACGCUUUGCUGGUCCGGGCUGCUCCUGUUGGCGUGGGUUUCCGGGGCGCUAUGUACAGUCUCGACGGCGCUCUCUCCAUGGCUUCUCCUUCGGCCAGGUCCUGCACCCCACUUGCCGUUCCUCUAGGCGCAUAGGUGGGAGGUACGUUGAUCCGCUUCAUCCUGGAGUCUGGGUUGUGCGAGGUUGGUGCCCGGCGUUGGUCGCGACGUGGCCUAAAUACCUUUGUUUCUCUUGUCCUUGCCUUGCUGGCUGGAGUUUAAGUUAGGGAAACGUUUCCACCCGGUGCGCCGGCCGAAACGUUGGGCCGGAUGCACGCGGGCAUUACACAUGGUGGGGCCAGGCGGUGGUUUUUCCUCUCCCGAUCCCCUUAUCUCUUCAAGCUUUCACGCCACAGCACACACAGUGUUCGCUCUCCUCCACUCAUUCCCCUUCCUUCCUCCACUUUCUUUUUCCCUUCCACCUUUCCACGCCGGAGCACAAGUCAAGGACAUUCGCCGCUUUUUUUCGCUGCUGGCCAAGGCCGUCCUGAGCUGCGACCGGCAAAAUAGAGGAGUGGCGGCGCUGCAGAUUUGGAGCAGGAAGAGCGGUGCUGUGGAGACAACUGAGAUGCGAUGCGGGGACGUGGGGAGGAGUUGCAAGGUUCUGCAACCGGUGGACCUGGAAGCUCAACUGGCAGGCGCGCGACCACGCCGGCGACUCCUCGAUGUUGUAACCGGCGGAGUUGAAAGCUUCUACUAGCGUGCUAAAAAGCUACGACCGGCAACGGCGAAAGCUGCAAUCGGGCGGCCAUGCCGACCACGCCGGCGACCACCGAUGUUGCAACUGGCGGAGCUAAAAGCUUCUACCAGCGAGCUAAAAAGCUAUGGCUGGCGACAGAAAAGCUGCAUCACCAGAAGCUGCAACCGGCAGUGCACCAUGGCCGGGGAUGGCAUCCACAGGAUGCUACGCGCAGCGACGCGCGGACGCUGCAACGACCGGAAUGAGAUACUGGAACCGUCUAUUCAAAAAGCUUCCGCCGGCGAAAAGGAAAGCUACUACAGAAACAACUGCUACAACCCAGCGACGACGACGGCGACGACAGAGUGCUGCAACAGGCUAGCAAAAAGCUGGAAGUGGCGAUUGUGAUUGCUACAACCAGAGGUGUGACAUGCUGGAACCGAGUUUGCCACUGCUGAAAGAACUCUGGCACUCCAGGCCACCAUUCGUUUUUGCUACAGCCAUAGAUGUGCCGAGCUACAAUCACCGUGCGUUUCGCUGGAACCAAGGAUCAUCAGCGUUGGAACGAAAGAAGUCCAAAUAACCCCCUGGGGUUUCACAAACCGGCCACUUCACCCCCUCAUGUUUAAAACCCGGUAUCUAACCCCCUAGGCUUUCCUAAACCAUCUGAAUCGCCCCCUAAUCCUUAUUAGAGUGGUUUUACAAAUGAUUUUGGUGAUGUGGCAAUGUGCACCUCGUUCCUGACAUGCAUCCGGCCUCAUGCAUUCUCCUUCGAGCACAAGUCAACGUUGUGCCACUCGGGAAGCAUCGUGUUGAUGCAUGUCAUCAGCACGUAGCACGCUGAGUCCCAUUCUUCUCACUCGGUGAGCUUCUCAGCCGUGAGCGUCCCCUUCUCCAGCUUACUAUGCAGCUUGUACGAGGCCAGCAAUUUCUUGCACACCAGGCCUCUCCGGUCCAGCGCAUCACACGGGGUUCGUGGGAUCCUUCUGGUUGUCUGCAAUGUCAUGCUCCUGCUGCGCGGACACGGCGGCCGCGCUGGGGUGCACGCACAACCCGCCAACCGAUGCAAGUUCAGGCGACCCCUCGCCGUGCGCACCCAGUACGGCAGUGUCUCGUACUCAAGCUCUCCAAGGCGAACAGUGGUGGGAUGGUCGCGUCGUCGUCGACGGUGACGAGCAUGACAUUGGCGUCGGAGUGGCGAGGAGCUGGAGCGUCGCUAGCGAGGCGCACAUAAUUUCUCUCCGGCUAGAACGCACUGCUCCCCCGGAUACAAUACACACAUACAGACCGGCUGGAUCGAUUCGGUCUUGCACAAGCAUGCACGUACACGCAAGUACGAGCUUCCAUGUUCGAGCCGGAUUGGAGUAACCUAAUCGUGAUUAGCUCUGAUAGUGGAUGCUGCCAGCUACCGGCGGCGGCACGAGCUUGAUGAGCUAUUGUCAGCGAAAGAAGAAGAGGACGUGCCCGGCGAGAGCGUUGCCAGGGUGACUACGACACACGGGGGGCACGAUGGAAAGUAGAGAUUGCAUAUACAAGACAAAACACAGCCGGCUGCUGGCUAGCUGGUUCUGCUUCUGAGUACCUCAACAUCAUGUCGUUGUUUGCAAGAGAUCUGCCUGCCGGGAUGGAGGUACCGUGCAGACGUGGUACCUGCAACCAUGCCAUGUCACGAAAACCAUCCUCAAAAACCACUCUAAGCAGGGGUAGGGGGUGAUUUACCUGGUUUAGAAAAGCUCAGGGGGGCAAUUACCCGGUUUUAGACCUCGGGGGGUAAACUGGCGAAACCCUAGGGGGUUAUAUGGACUUCUUUCCGUUGGAACUGCCCGUUUUGCUGCUACCACAGAUGAGAAAAGUUACAAACGGAGGCUCGAGAUGCUGGAAGCGACAAAUGCUACAAGCAAGCGAGUGGUCUGCAAGGGAGCUCGUCGCCGGCGUUGUGCUGCAGGGUCGACGGCCGCGGGGCGCGACUAGCUCGCUGGAUAGGUGCGCAGGAUACAACCAUGGCUGGCUGGCGUAUGCUCACGAGGGAAUCCACCAGGGUCCAAGCAAAGCGGUGAGGGAAGGUGCAAAGGAUAAGGAACGAACGGCUACAAAUCACCCAAUCGAACGGGCCUGGUGCGACCGGCCAAAAUUUCGGCCGGCGCGCCGGCGCCUAACAGUGGCCUUUAGGAGAGCUUUACGCUGUGUUGUAUCCCUUUUUGUGUUUCCCACACCUUGUGUGUGGUGCUUCUCUUUUUUUUCUUGUUUUUUUUUGAACACAUCUUUUUGUCUUGUUUACCUAUGUAAUUUCUUUGCUACCUAUUAAUGAAUGAUACGCAAGCUUUGUAUAUUGGCGGAAAAAAAAUAUAGCAAGGACCGGUCCCUAGAGGCCACCACGAGGCUGUUGCCGUCUGUCUUGCCAAUCUGGCCACCUCUAGCGGCGAUGAGGACGGGAGACGCCGCCGGUAGCAGGGAUGCAGGCCAGGAACCCAAGCGGUGUGCGCGCCGGCGGCGGCGCGGCCCGGAGGCGAGUGUGCGAUUUUGUCCGCUGGACACGGACACCCCUAGGUAACUGAUUAACUUUCUCUUCAGCGGCAUCUCUUUACCUCCCGAUCCUCCCAUCUCCAAUCGCCAUCAGAUUUUGCAGGCUAUGAGUGCAUUACCAAUGGAAAUUGAAUUGACUGUUUGCUAUCAAUGCCAAUCGCCAAAAAAUAUUAUGCCCUCACCUUUUUUUUUCCGAUAAAGAACGUUUUUAUUAACUCAAAAUGUUGCCCUCACCUUCUUUUAAGAAAGAAAAUAAUAUCACGAAGAUAUCAAUUACACCCGACCUCUAUACCAACAAGAUGUACAAAGGCAUAAAAGUAAACACAGCCAAAAAAGAAGAAAAAAAGAAAAAAAGACCAUGCCAUUGCCGCGGUGACAAAUCACUAGCAUCAGCAGCCCUCUAACCAUCACCAAAGACAACACUCAAAAUACAAAAGAGAUUCACCAAAGACAACACUCAAAAUACAGAAGAGAUUCUUCAAAAGCAACACCUCUAAAAGGAAAACAAUGCACAAGCUGACUGAACAAAGUUUGAGCUCACCCAAAAACAAUGAUUUCAACAAGUCCAUUGCCAGAUAUAACCAAUAAAAGUCUGACCUUGUGUUUUCACCCUGGGGAUUGAGACUCGACAAGCACCAUGGAGCUUUUUUUGAGUUCUCCAUGUGAGAAACUGCAUCAGAGAAACUCCACUCUGGAGCACUUACUAUCCCAAAUUGCAUCCGAGUAGUACGAAGUUUCCCGAAAACUUUAAUCACAUAAACCAUGUUACAGUGCAUAGGUUGUUGGCAUUUGGUUUUGUCCUUGCCAAGACCUGCACUAUUCUUCAGAGAAACUCCACAGUGCAGCACACAUCAGUGAAGCUCUUAUCAAAACCACACACACACACAUACCAGGUUCAUUCAUGACAAAAGGGGUGAUCAUCCAAUUUCCAAGGCAGAGAGGAGAAGUGAGACAGACAACGAAACAUUGCAUUGAACUCUGAUGAAAGAUGAACAAUAUGGGCAGGCGUUUAUUCCACGCAACAAAUGCGGCUGGCAUGAACCAGCGAGCACUGCCCAGGACCUCACAAAUGUGCCGAGACAACAAAUUAACACACCCCACGACCAGACCAAAUGGAAACUACGGUAGACAGACAAAUCAUAACGCAGCCGACACUUCACCCUCCCGCUGAAUGCGCCUCUUCAUGCCCCAUUGCACCGCGCUAGUUGUCGGAGCUCUC